rnacentral:rRNA from 1 species
CACGUGGGAACGUACCCUUUGGUUCGGAACAACACAGGGAAACUUGUGCUAAUACCGGAUAAGCCCUUACGGGGAAAGAUUUAUCGCCAAAGGAUCGGCCCGCGUCUGAUUAGCUAGUUGGUGGGGUAACGGCCCACCAAGGCUACGAUCAGUAGCUGGUCUGAGAGGAUGAUCAGCCACACUGGGACUGAGACACGGCCCAGACUCCUACGGGAGGCAGCAGUUAGGAAUCUUGGACAAUGGGCGCAAGCCUGAUCCAGCCAUGCCGCGUGAGUGAUGAAGGCCUUAGGGUUGUAAAGC